GACAAGAGUAGAAGCGUUCAGCAGCGCACGCACCAUCCCCGUGCGCCCGCCCGGAAAUUGCUCUUGAG
rnacentral:ncRNA from 1 species